rnacentral:rRNA from 1 species
GUCGAGCGAAGCGAAUCUUCGGAAGUUUUCGGAUGGAAGAGGAUUUGACUUAGCGGCGGACGGGUGAGUAACGCGUGGGUAACCUGCCUUGCACUGGGGGAUAACAGUUAGAAAUGACUGCUAAUACCGCAUAAGCGCACAGGGCCGCAUGGCCUGGUGUGAAAAACUCCGGUGGUGUAAGAUGGACCCGCGUCUGAUUAGGUAGUUGGUGGGGUAACGGCCCACCAAGCCGACGAUCAGUAGCCGACCUGAGAGGGUGACCGGCCACAUUGGGACUGAGACACGGCCCAAACUCCUACGGGAGGCAGCAGUGGGGAAUAUUGGACAAUGGGCGAAAGCCUGAUCCAGCGACGCCGCGUGAGUGAAGAAGUAUUUCGGUAUGUAAAGCUCUAUCAGCAGGGAAGAAAAUGACGGUACCUGACUAAGAAGCCCCGGCUAACUACGUGCCAGCAGCCGCGGUAAUACGUAGGGGGCAAGCGUUAUCCGGAUUUACUGGGUGUAAAGGGAGCGUAGACGGUUUAGCAAGUCUGAAGUGAAAGCCCGGGGCUCAACCCCGGUACUGCUUUGGAAACUGUUGGACUUGAGUGCAGGAGAGGUAAGUGGAAUUCCUAGUGUAGCGGUGAAAUGCGUAGAUAUUAGGAGGAACACCAGUGGCGAAGGCGGCUUACUGGACUGUAACUGACGUUGAGGCUCGAAAGCGUGGGGAGC